rnacentral:lncRNA from 1 species
GGCUGAGGGUGAGAUUCCCUUCUCCACAGCCUCAGGUUUGUAUCUGUCACAUGUUUUGGGACAUGGCUGCAGGAUUUCAGGCCAUCUUCUCUGUGCUCUUUUUGCCUGCCUGAAUCUGGAAGCUGCACAUGUUCUGAGACUUCUGAACUGCUCUCGUUUGGCAUGGACUCCAGGGAUCUGCUUUGCCAAGCACAGCACCUUGCUGAGGGAGACCUCUGUGAGAAUUCCAGGCUCCCAGCUUGGGAGCAAUUUUGUGAUGGGAAUUAGAUGGGAAUGAAAGUAGCUAGAAAGCAUGGAAGGGAUGGCAUCAUGGCUGAUAGGUGAGAAGGAAUCCCAGGAGAAACAGAAAAGCCUAAAAAUAAUCACCAGACAAGAAAAAUUAGAGAAGCUUAGGAAAAGUAUUUUUGCA